rnacentral:rRNA from 1 species
CGGAACGUGCCCAGUAGCGGGGGAUAACUACGCGAAAGCGUAGCUAAUACCGCAUACGCCCUACGGGGGAAAGCAGGGGAUCGUAAGACCUUGCACUAUUGGAGCGGCCGAUAUCGGAUUAGCUAGUUGGUGGGGUAAUGGCUCACCAAGGCGACGAUCCGUAGCUGGUUUGAGAGGACGACCAGCCACACUGGGACUGAGACACGGCCCAGACUCCUACGGGAGGCAGCAGUGGGGAAUUUUGGACAAUGGGGGAAACCCUGAUCCAGCCAUCCCGCGUGUGCGAUGAAGGCCUUCGGGUUGUAAAGCACUUUUGGCAGGAAAGAAAUGGCGUGUGUUAAUACCAUGCGCAGAUGACGGUACCUGCAGAAUAAGCACCGGCUAACUACGUGCCAGCAGCCGCGGUAAUACGUAGGGUGCAAGCGUUAAUCGGAAUUACUGGGCGUAAAGCGUGCGCAGGCGGUUCGGAAAGAAAGAUGUGAAAUCCCAGGGCUCAACCUUGGAACUGCAUUUUUAACUACCGGACUAGAGUAUGUCAGAGGGAGGUGGAAUUCCACGU